UACGGGGGGGGCAAGCGUUGUUCGGAAUUACUGGGCGUAAAGGGCUCGUAGGUGGCCAACUAAGUCAGACGUGAAAUCCCUCGGCUUAACCGGGGAACUGCGUCUGAUACUGGAUGGCUUGAGUUUGGGAGAGGGACGCGGAAUUCCAGGUGUAGCGGUGAAAUGCGUAGAUAUCUGGAGGAACACCGGUGGCGAAGGCGGCUACCUGGACAGAAACUGACGCUGAGGCACGAAAGCUAGGGGAGCAAACAGG
rnacentral:rRNA from 1 species